UACGGAGGGUGCAAACGUUGCUCGGAAUCAUUGGGCGUAAAGCGCACGUAGGCGGCUUCUUAAGUCGGGUGUGAAAGCCCUCGGCUCAACCGAGGAAGUGCAUUCGAAACUGGGGAGCUUGAAUACUGGAGAGGAUGGCGGAAUUCCCGGUGUAGAGGUGAAAUUCGUAGAUAUCGGGAGGAACACCAGCGGCGAAGGCGGCCAUCUGGACAGAUAUUGACGCUGAGGUGCGAAAGCGUGGGGAGCAAACAGG
rnacentral:rRNA from 1 species